rnacentral:misc_RNA from 1 species
AUACUUUUCAAGAAACUUUUCAUCUCCUAAGUUCAACUCCAAAUGGAACCUAUAUUUUUUACCUGAACCACAUUAUCUUAAUUAUUUAUUAUGUUUGAUUUCUUUUGUUUCAUAACUAAUUUGAUUAGAUUAUGAUUGAUUUGAUUCACAUUUCAAUUCGGUUUUUUUUCUUUUUUUUCCUCUUAUGAUAAUUUACAUUAUUUCGGAUUUGCUAAUUUUCAAUCGAAUAAACUGAAACACUUGAAUACUCACCCUUUUCAGCACGAACACGGUGAGAAGAUUGCGG